rnacentral:lncRNA from 1 species
UUUUUUUUUUUUUCAGGGCUGCAGGUAUGGCAUAUGGAAGUUCUGAGGCUAGGGGUCCAAUCAGAGCUAUAGCUGCCGGCCUACACCACAGCCACAGCAAUGUGGGGUCCGAGCUGCGUCUGCAACCUACACCACAACUCAGGCAACACCAGAUCCUUAACCCACUGAUCGAGGCCAGGGAUCAAACCCACAUCCUCAUGGAUACUAGUUAGGUUUGUUUCUACUGAGCCACAAUGAGAACUCCCCACACUGCAUCUUAAAAUAGUGUUUUCAGUGUAAGACGCCUGUCCUUCAGGCUGACCUGUGCCAUGGAAGGCGAGAAAAGCAAGUUUCCCAGGGGGCGAGAGUCCAGGGAACUUAACAGGGUCGGGCCUGUGGAGCGACACUCUGGUGGCGUGUCCGAGAGGCCUGGUGGGGACAGGGUACAAUGCAGGCUUGCAGAGUGGAUGGUAAUUUCCAUUCGGGAGCCUAAUGGGGUCGUUUUACUUUCUCUACUGCCUGUCUCCCACAGAGGGAGCAGGCUUGGGGAAACUUUUGCGAUGUCUUGGGCCACUCCCGUGGCAUAUGGAGGUUCCCAGGCUAGGGGUCUAAUUGGAGCUGUAGCCACCCACCUACGCCAGAGCCACAGCAACAUAGGAUCCGAGCCGCAUCUGCAAACUACACCACAGCUCAUGGCAAUGCCGGAUUGUUAACCCACUGAGCAAGGGCAGGGACCGAACCCGCAACCUCAUGGUUCCUAGUCGGAUUCGUUAACCACUGCGCCACGACGGGAAGUCCAGGCUUGGGGAAAUUUUACCUGUACUGAGAAGAUUCAUCAGCUUCUUGGGUGUUAUAAGCUAUGAUGCUCGAAGGGCCGAGUAUGGUACCCACACUCGCAACACCGACUUGGGCCUGGAGACUCCUUCUCUGAGCCUCUGAAAUUUUCAUCUGCCCACCUCCCCGUGCUUUGUCACACUGGCUCAAGGAGCACUGUGACCAUUGUCUGAAGUGGCACAGCCCUGUGCGGACAGCCUUCCCCGGAGACACUGUAAACUUAUUUUGUUUAAGCAAAGACCAAAGGAGUAGCCAAGAGACAAAAAUGAAAAGGGCAAAAUGCCCGCCAUGGUAAGAGGCAGAGCAGGGGGCCCAUGGAACACGAGGAGCCAUCUCAUGUAACCGAGCAUCCUGAGCAGGACCCCCAGGAAGUGCAGAGUAGGCUCAGCCUGCUGCCUGCUUGGCUGAGGACCUGGUGGCGCCUACUUGCAGUCCUCCGGCUGGAAAGCAACCACACUGAAGCUGCGCUACAACCUGGGGAGCAGGUCAACCUCCUGUGGUCACCUAUGGCGGAUGCCCAGUGCGAGGUCUGCAGGCUUCCUUCCAAACGCCACAGGCCAUGCGGUUGCAGAAUUUUAUAUUUUAUUUUGCUUUUCUCAACUUUUUAGGGCCACACUGGUGGCAUAUGGAAGUUCCUGGGCUAGGGGUUGAAUCGGAGCCAUAGCUGCUGGCCUACACCACAGCCACAGCGACAGUGGACCUGAGCCACAUCUGAGACCUACACCACAGCUCAUGGCAACUGCUGGAUCCUUAACCCACUGAUGCAGGCCAGGGAUCGAACCCACGUCUUCAUGGAUCCUAAUUGGAUUCAUUAUAGCUGAGCCCCAAUGGGAACUCCUCAGUCAUGGAAUUUUAGGGUUUCUCCAGCCACUGCUCCUUCUCGUCCAAUCAGUAUUUUCACACGGCUGUCUUCAAGGUGGACCAGCUUCACAGUCCAUUUAGAAAAGACCAGGCCAAAUCUGACUUUUGAGCUAGGAAACCCCUCAAUAUUCCUCCCUUUUGGAGGUUUAAUUAGAAUACUUCCUUUCCUGCCCUUCUCCUUGCUAACCGAAUCUCGAACUUCUGAACCCUAAAGGCAACUCUUUUUUUUCUUUUUUGGCCGCCCCGAGGCAUAUGGCAUUCCCGGGCCAGGGAUCAGAUCAGAUGAGCCGUGUCUGUGACCUAUGACACAGCUGCAGCAACGCCAGAUCCCGAACCCACUGCGCCGGGCCAGGGAUUGAAGCUGCGUCCUGGUGCUGCAGAGAUGCUGCCGCCAAGCCUGUUGCGCCACAGCAGGAACUCCUGAAGGCAACUCUUGACAUGCAUUGCAGCAGAAACCUAAGAGAGAGGCGUUCCCGUUGUGGCUCAUUGGAGUUAAAAACCUGACAUAGUGGCGGUGAGGAUGGAGGGUUCGAUCCUUGGCCUCACACAGUGGGUUAAGGAUCUGGCAUUGCUGAGAGCUGCUCUGGAGGUCGCAGAUGUGGCUUGGAUCUGUCAUGGCCGUGGCUGUGGUGGAGGCGGGCAGCUGCAGCUCUGAUUCGACCCCUCACCUGGGAACCUUCGCAUGUUGCACAUGUGGCCCUAAAAAGAAAAAAGACAGACAUGUAAGACAGGAGGCCAGUUACCACCUGAUCGGCUAUUUUUAAUUCGAGGCUCUUGAAGAACCUGUCCAAAGUUUCCAUAUCUUCUCUUCUGCUUGGAAAACAAAAAAGUUGACUUAAACGUCAGUUAUCAUGUAGGGGAGUGACUGUCCCCCUCUCUCCCUGAGUUCCAGUCGGUGAACGGCUCACCCUGGGCUCUAGUGCAGGCUCUGAGCGGGAGGAGGAGGGCGGUGCGAUAGCUUAUCAGAUAGAAAAGCAUAACCCAAAUCGCUCCAGUUUCAUAAUCUUGCUCUUGCUUCUAAAAGGACAGUCGUCUCUCCUGGCGUGUUACAUGCCUGACAUCCCGAUAUUCACCUGCUGCUUCUCAGCCCAUGGGGAGGGUGCCUGCGGGCGGCACAGCCAAGGAAGACUGCUGGGAGGAGGGGGCACGGCCUCCGCUUCCAGGGACACUGUUUCUGAUUCCCGGGAGCUCUUGGGAUGAGUUGAGACUCUUCAGGAUGUGGUUGGCGGCAGAAGGGAUGCGCGGAGAGCCUGCCCGCGCCGCCCGGGGGCUCCCAGGCUGGCGCUGAGUUUCUACAAGGCAGAGAGCGUGGGGCAAGGGGCCAGGCUGCUGC